rnacentral:rRNA from 1 species
AGUGAACGCUGGCGGCGUGCUUAACACAUGCAAGUCGAACGAGAACGGGUUAUAGCUUGCUAUAAUUGUCAGCUAAGUGGCGCACGGGUGAGUAAUGUAUAGGUAAUAUGCCUCUUACUAAGGGAUAACAAAUGGAAACGUUUGCUAAUACCUUAUACUCCUUAUUAACAGAAGUUAAUAAGGGAAAGAUUUAUUGGUAAGAGAUUAGCCUGUAUUGUAUCAGUUAGUUGGUGGGGUAAUGGCUUACCAAGACUAUGACACAUAACUGGUUUGAGAGGAUGAUCAGUCACACUGGAACUGAGACACGGUCCAGACUCCUACGGGAGGCAGCAGUGGGGAAUAUUGCACAAUGGACGAAAGUCUGAUGCAGCAACGCCGCGUGGAGGAUGACACGUUUCGGUGCGUAAACUCCUUUUAUAUGAGAGGAUAAUGACGGUAUUAUAUGAAUAAGCACCGGCUAACUCCGUGCCAGCCGCCGCCGUAA